rnacentral:rRNA from 1 species
AGGGGGCAAGCGUUGUCCGGAUUUACGUGGGUGUAAAGGGCGUGUAGGCGGGACUGCAAGUCAGAUGUGAAAAUUAUGGGCUCAACCCAUAACCUGCAUUUGAAACUGUGGUUCUUGAGUGAUGGAGAGGCAGGCGGAAUUCCGUGUGUAGCGGUGAAAUGCGUAGAUAUACGGAGGAACACCAGUGGCGAAGGCGGCCUGCUGGACAUUAACUGACGCUGAGGCGCGAAAGCGU